AGGCAGGAGAGCAGUGGUGCCACUGUGGUGGGACCUGCUGCAUUUUCCAGAGAACCAGAAGGAAAGGAAAGUUCAAGCAAGCAAGCAAAUUGCCAGUAAUCACAGAGCCAUGCAGGGUCACAUGAUCUCUUAGGAUGGAGAAUAUCCCAGAAAUAUAUCUGCUUGAAACAGCCUGACAUGCAGUGGAAAACCUGGCAAAUGUUUAGCUGCAGUACAUUCUUCCUGCUGGGGCAUUCCCAGAACUUGCACGGUUGUGUGUGCAGGGGAACCUGCAGUUCUAAAGCAACAACCCCACUGUUAACAUCCCACAUGUGGAAAGGAAAACAAAAUGCCGUCCUUCCCUGUGGAUCCAGGCUGGAGAGGCAAAUUGAUGAAGACACAAGACGGCCUUGCAGUCUGAACUUUGGAGUUCAUAAAUCUCUGGCAGGUUAGAUUUGAGAGCAUGACAAAGCAGCCCCUUUCCCUGCCAAAAAAAAAGAAAAAGAAAAGAAAAAGAAAAGAAAAAGAAAAAUUGCAUCAAAAUCCCAAUAAAGAGAGCAAAGGAAUUCAGGACUGAACACUGAAUUGGAAGUAGUAAUGUGUAAUCUCUUGCUUAUAAGGUAUUUUCUCCUGUGUGAGUCAGAUGUGGUACUGUGAAGCUGAAGGGUAAAUUGAAAUUAUCAUAAAGAUUACAUGAAGUGAGCACAUGGAUAAAUGAGGCUGUAGGGAAGAAUCAACACAGCUUUUCUACAAGAAAUCCAAAGGGUUAAUAAAUACAAAGAGGACCUGUCAGGCUGUGGAGCUGGGGGCACCAAAAACGUUUUGAGAAUGGUUUCUGUGUCUGGCAUCCCAGUGUGGCUAAGAUGCUUUGUCUGGAAAAGAGUUAACCAUGGUGAGAGGAGACACAUGUGACAAAGGUCAUGUAAUCGUGGAUGGCUGAAUGGAUGAAGGGGCUGAAUGUUUACCAUGAAUAAUAGUGGGGGAAAAAAGAAGUUUGGGACAUCAAGUGAAACCAGUAGGUAAGAGAUCCACAGCAAAUUAGAGCAGUUCUUUGUUUGCCGUUUUUUAAAGCCUUAGACCCCUGCCGUGGGGUGUUGUGGGUGCUAAAUGUUCACAUCAUUUAAGAAGAGACUGGAUGAGUUUGUGGAGGAAAAGUCUGUGCAGCUAUUAAAUACAACAGACAACCUCUGGCUCAGGAAAUGCCUGAGGCACCAAGUCUUGGAGCCUGGCAGGCUGUGCCGGGAAAAUAUGCUUGCUCUGUUCUUCUGCUUCUCUAGGCGUCGGGUUUUGGCUACAGCCAGCCAGACCGUUCAGCUACAUGGACCUUUUUGUCAGCAGCUGUUUUCGUGUUUCGGUAUCUGUCUGAGCAGAUCCUUGACACAGAACACAUAUUCAUUUGUUGUUUGCAAUGCCCUUAUUUAGAGUUGCUCGAGGUUCUCCAAAUCAAAUAUUUUUUUCACCUUUUCUGAAAUCCUUGUGCUUCAGACUGGAAAACCCAAUCCACUCAGGAGCUAAGAUUCUCAUCUAUUGAUUCUCAUGGAAGUAGGCACUUGAAAUUUUGCUGAGGGCUUGGUACUCUGCAUAUUUAAGCCCUUUUGCUGCAGGCUGCAAUGAGAGCAUGUCUGCAUUUAGGAGAGAGCAGGGGAAGGAAAGCAUUUUGUGCUCUUUCCACCUCCUGCAAUUUGGGAAGCUGGUCACAGACACACGGAUUUUCCAGGUCUCUCUCACCCCUUUCAUCUACAGGGAGAAUUCUGUAAAUCAAGAUACCUCUUGAUUUCUGUAAGAUUGCAUCUUUAUAAUCAAGACCAGAAUUUGCCCAGAGCCUCUGCUCAGUCAAAGAAGUUUAAGCAUCUCAGCAUCUCUGUGUCCCUUCAUUCAUUUUUAGCAAGGUCUGCCAUGUGUCAGACAAAAGCAGCUGUAUCAGGGCAGUUGACCACUCAGUCAGGUCAAACUGGCUGUGAUGUUUGGCAUCAGAAUUAAGUCUCCCUUAGAUGCCUAGAUGGCAGGACACAACUAAUGAAUACACACUUGACAGAAACUGUAUUGUCACCAAGUGCCAGCUCAUAUGUUUCACAAACUCAUCUGGAGGAGGCAGAAAUUAUCUCCAAAUCAGCAACACAGAGACCUUUCUCUGCUCCUUCAAACCCUUUGCCUACUUCUGGCCUUGGGCCCACACAAAUACUCAAACACAGUGAGGAAUAUAAAUUUGCAAGGGUCUCAGCUUUCAUAAUAUGACUAAGUUGUUUUGAUUUAAGUGUGCUCGUCUUGCCAAGAUUGGAAAAAAUUAGUCCGUUCUCCUCAUGGCUGAAUGUCAAGGUACACUCAGGUUUUCAGACAAAUGCCCCAAAUGCGCCCAUGUAAAUGCACAAUUGAACCAAAACCUGAGUGUUGGAGAACUUAACUCUUUCCUUGGUAGUUUUUUUUUAGAGAAACAUGGAGAAAAACAAGAAACUAUGGCAGUAUGAGAGGAUCAAGUCCUUGCUUUGAACAAGGACUGAAGUCACCCAUGGUAUACCAAGAAAAUGAAAAAAGUGCAUACAGAAUUAUUGUAUUGACUUUGGAGUAUUGAGACACUACCUGAAACACUCCUGGGCUUCACUUAAUUUUCUCCACAGAAUUUCCCUACAGGGUGGCAAUACUUCAUGUUUUUAAGAACUUUGCUUUAUUUGCCCAUUUAGUGCAUGAAGAAAAGUUAGAAAAAAUACCAGUAAUAUUUAGCUAUAUUCUGAUUCUUCUCUGGGGUCAUCAAUAGUUACUUCUUGUUGUGUAAUCUCAGCCUGCCUUUCUUUUUUUAAUAAGGAGUUCUGCCAAUAACACCAUUAAGAUUAACGUAAAUGUAGACUCAUAUUGGGGAAACUCAUAUCAGUGCGGAGCAGCUGUUUGCAGGGAGACUUGUUACUGUGAAGUAAUCUAUGCUUUUUUGGAUCUGUGACAUAUUUGCAGGUUUACAUUCAUUCUUUAUUUACAUUAAUGAAGGCCAGAGUUUUGGGAUAAGUGUUACACCAAUGGUAUUGUAUUUGCAGGGACCCUCGUGGCAGGGAGGAAUGAUGAAUCUGACUCCAUGUUCUCAGAAGGCUAAUUUAUUACUUCAUAAUACUAUAUUAUGUUAAAGAAUACUGUACUAUACUAUACUAAAGAAUAGAGAAAGGAUAUUUACUGAAUGCUAAAAAGAUAAUAAUGAAAACUCAUGAGUCUUUCCAGAGUCCCAACACAACUUGGCACUGAUUGGCAAAUGAGCCAAAACAACUCACACCGGAAUCCAAUGAAACAAUCACCUGUGGGUGAACAAUCUCCAAACACAUUCCACAUGAGCAAAACAGAGGAGAAGCAAAUGAAAUAAGAAUUGUUCCCCUUUUCCCUGAGGCUUCUCAGCUUCCCAGGAGAAAAAUCCUGGGUGAAGGGAUUUUUUCAGAGAAUGUGAAUGCCACAGAAACGCUCAAUUUAGUUAACAAAACAGCGGUGCUGGAUGCCAUUAGAGAUGCACAAGGGUAUCUGAGAUAUCCAUGGAGGACUGGUUGGCAUGACAGUCCCUGAGGAAGAUUUGUGCCCAUUUGCAUGGGCAGAGGGAGGCCAGGCAGAUGCCAUCAGGCAUUUCAAAUGCUUUUAGUUGCCCUUCCUUGGGCAAAGAUGCUUCCGAAACUUAUGGGGAAAAUGUUCGUGGCUAAGGCCAGACAGACUGGGCCACAAACACACAAAAAAUGAACCACAAAUGAUUGACUAUGCAAGCAAGCAUAGAAAUGAGUGUCAUGUGAGGAUGUGAUCAUUUUGUAUUGCUGCCUGCCACAAUUUUUGUGCAAAUAUUUAUUCUUGAAGAAAAGACAGUUUGGGCUUCCUUUUCAAAACCAAAAUGUCUCUGAUGUUUAAAAGGAAAAUUAAAAAAGAAAAAAAUUGAGACAUCUUAGCUCUUACUGCCUGGGCUUUGCUGAAGGUCUCUGGGAUUUGAAAGGUGAAGUCACCUCAAGCCAUGCCACUGGUUUCAUCCCCAGCUGAAGGAGCACAGAUGUAGAGUCACAGUCUAGAAAUCACUGUGAACAUACUAAUACUAAAGUAGUUGUCAGGAUAUAACCCUGCUCUUCUUUUGGUUCUGCCCUUUAGCUGCUGAAGAAACAGCCCCUGGUGUGGCCUGAGGGCUGCAGGAGGCCACAGGGAACCAGCCACGCUUGGUGGUUAGAGCCGGGCUCCUCCACAGCCCAGCCCCGUGCAGGGGAUGGUGGGCAGCCCAGUGUGCCUUGCCACGGGUGCUGGAAGCGAUGGGUGUCAGGCAACACCUGCAGGGCUUGUCCCAGAGCCUGCUGUGGGACAGCCCAACCUCAUCCCACAGCUGGAGAUGUCCACAUGUGAACUGCGGGAGGUCUUUGUGUCCCCUCCUUCCUCCCUUUCCUCUUCUGCACAUCCCAGAAUUGGUCUGAGGACCUUCUGCCAGCUGUGUCUUGCUGAGAAAAGCAGCGCCUCUGAGGGCAAGGAAGACUUCUUCCAAAGACUUGCUGUCUGGAGACAGUGGUCCUUGAGCAGAUCCUUGCAGUCUGAACAACUUUGCUACAGAAGGCAUACAGUGGUUUGCUGGAAUUCUUUGGCUUUUCAAGGAAAGGAGUACCUGGGUUUUGUCAGAUUCACUCAAGACAAGGUUUGGGUGAGAAUCUGAGAGGCUCAGUUCCAAAUGGAUGAAGUUUGUUGUUCUGUAACAUAAUUAAACAUUUUUAA